rfam:Caenorhabditis remanei strain PB4641 contig1.20, whole genome shotgun sequence.
AGUCGGAGCCCGUCUUUCCAAUAUUUUGAAACCAGUACUCAUGCAAAUGGUUACAAAGUAUUCGAAAAGGCGUGCUCUGAGA